ACGAAGGGUGCAAGCGUUACUCGGAAUUACUGGGCGUAAAGCGUGCGUAGGCGGUUUGUUAAGUCUGAUGUGAAAGCCCUGGGCUCAACCUGGGAAUUGCACUGGAUGCUGGCAGGCUAGAGUGCGGUAGAGGAUGGCGGAAUUCCCGGUGUAGCAGUGAAAUGCGUAGAUAUUGGGAAGAACACCGGUGGCGAAGGCGGCCAUCUGGACCGGUUCUGACGCUGAGGCGCGAAAGCGUGGGGAGCAAACAGGA
rnacentral:rRNA from 1 species